GCCACGCCGUGAACCGGUGGAUUCCGGUGCAAUCGAUGGAGUUUUUGUUUUAUGAUCUGGAUAGAGUGUUGAGAGUUGGGGGUUACCUUUGGUUUGAUCAUUUCUUCAGCAAAGGGGCGGAUCUUGAUAAAAUUUACUCUCCAUUGAUCACAAAGUUGGGGUACCGGAAGGUGAAGUGGGCCACGGCGAGUAAGACCGACUCCGGCGGGUUGAAGAACGGAGAAGUUUACUUGACGGCGUUGCUGCAGAAGCCUGUGCCAACAUGAGGCAGUAGCUGAGCUGAAAACCUGCGGCUUGGAUCAUACGAGGAAACAAUUAUUUAAUGAAAUUGUCAAAUUCUUGUGGAAGAAGAAGAAAAAGAAGAUGGGAUUUUACAUAAAGAACUUAUAGAUUUAUCCACCACAAUGGACUACUCAUUUGGCAAAGCUACUGAGUGUAUGAAGAGAAACAAACAAAUGGUGGUUGAAGAAAGGCAUCCAAAACGGGUUUGUGGAAAUUUAUGUUUGAAAUGGCUGUUAUUACAGACACAAAUGGUUGCUUUUUUAUAGGUUCUGUCGGAUUAUAUAUGGUUUUUUUUCCUUCUUGAAUUGUUGGUUGUAGAAGUCACAAGUCAGGAACUGACUAUUCAAAAUUUGUAGUUGUGAAUGUUCAGAAACGGAAGUUUUAACAGACUUCUUGUUCCAGCA